GAUGAACGCUGGCGGCGUGCCUAAUACAUGCAAGUAGAACGCUGAAGGAGGAGCUUGCUCUUCUGGAUGAGUUGCGAACGGGUGAGUAACGCGUAGGUAACCUGCCUGUUAGCGGGGGAUAACUCUUGGAAACGAUAGCUAAUACCGCAUGACAUCAGUUAUUGCAUGAUAACUGUUUAAAAGAGGCAACUGCUCCACUACCAGAUGGACCUGCGUUGUAUUAGCUAGUUGGUGAGGUAACGGCGCAACAAGGCGGCGAUACAUAGUCGACCUGGGAAGGGGAUCCGCCAAACUGGGACCGGGAAACGGCCCAGGACUCUUAGGGGAGCAGCAGUAGGGGAACUUCGGCAAUGGACGGAAGGCUGAACGGACAAAGCCGCGGGGGGGGAGAAGGGUUUCCGGUCGGAAAGCUCCGUUGUAAGGGAAGAAAGAGUGUGGGAGUGAAAUGUUCACGCUGUGACGGUACCUAACCAGAAAGCGACGGCUAACUACGUG
rnacentral:rRNA from 1 species